UACGGGGGGUGCAAGCGUUGCUCGGAAUCACUGGGCGUAAAGCGACCGCAGGCGGCCUGACAAGUCGGAUGUGAAAGCCCUGGGCUCAACUCAGGAAUUGCAUUCGAAACUGGCAGGCUCGAGUACGGGGAGAGGGGGGUGGAAUUCCGGUGGUGAUGAGGGUCGGUAAGUAACGUUGAUGAUCAGGAGGAAUCCCGGGCGAG
rnacentral:rRNA from 1 species